CCUACGGGAGGCAGCAGUGAGGAAUAUUGGUCAAUGGGCGCUAGCCUGAACCAGCAAAGUAGCGUGAAGGAUGAAUGCCCUCUGGGUUGUAACCUUCUUUUAUAUGGGAAUAAAGUGCAGUAUGUAUACUGCUUUGCAUGUACCUUAUGAAUAAGGAUCGGCUAACUCCGGGCCAGCAGCCGCGGUAAUACGGAGGAUCCGAGCGUUAUCCGGAUUUAUUGGGUGUAAAGGGAGCGUAGGCGGGCUGUUAAGUCAGUUGUGAAAGCUUGGGGCUCAACCGUAAAAGUGCAGUUGAGACUGGCAGCCUUAAGUGCAGUAGAGGUAGGCGGAAUUCGUGGUGUAGCGGUGAAAUGCGUAGAUAUCACGAAGAACUCCGAUUGCGAAGGCAGCCUGCUGGACUGUAACUGACGCUGAUGCGCGAAAGUGUGGGUAUCAAACAGGAUUAGAUACCCUUGUAGUC
rnacentral:rRNA from 1 species